rnacentral:rRNA from 1 species
CCUACGGGAGGCAGCAGUGGGGAAUAUUGCGCAAUGGGCGAAAGCCUGACGCAGCGACGCCGCGUGCGGGAUGACGGUCUUCGGAUCGUAAACCUCUGUCAGCAGGGAAGAACGGUCACUGUGCUAAUCAGCAGUGAAUUGACGGUACCUGCAAAGGAAGCACCGGUUAACUCCGUGCCAGCAGCCGCGGUAAUACGGAGGGUGCGAGCGUUACUCGGAAUUACUGGGCGUAAAGCGCUCGUAGGCGGUUUGUCAAGUCAAGGGUGAAAGCCCCGGGCUCAACGUUGGAACUGGCUUUGAAACUGGCAGACUGGAGUGUGUGAGGGGAUAGUGGAAUUCCUGGUGUAGGAGUGAAAGCCGGAGAUAUCUGGAGGAACAUCAGUGGCGAAGGCGACUAUCUGGCACAUAACUGACGCUGAGGAGCGAAAGCGGGGGUAGCAAACAGGAUUAGAUACCCCGGUAGUC